UACGGGGGGGGCAAGCGUUGUUCGGAAUUACUGGGCGUAAAGGGCUCGUAGGUGGCCAACUAAGUCAGACGUGAAAUCCCUCGGCUUAACCGGGGAACUGCGUCUGAUACUGGUUGGCUUGAGUGCAGGAGAGGAAUGCGGAAUUCCAGGUGUAGCGGUGAAAUGCGUAGAUAUCUGGAGGAACACCGGUGGCGAAGGCGGCAUUCUGGACUGUAACUGACGCUGAGGAACGAAAGCCAGGGGAGCAAACGGG
rnacentral:rRNA from 1 species